UCCUUUUGCUUUAAAAUGACUACAAUAUUAUGGAUUGUUUAACUGAUUGUGGUAUGGGUGAACUAUUAGAAAGUUAGAACACAAAGAAACAUUUGCUACUUCACCUUACCUCUGUGGCUCAAUGACCAGUAGCACAAUUUACAGACUCGUCAAACUCACACAUUUUAUGGCUUCUGUUUUACAUACAAUUAGGCAUCAAUUUCCUACCUAUCUCAAUUGUGUAUAUCUUGUGAAUGUUAUGUUAUUGAAUUUUGUAGAGUAUACCACCCGAAUUUAUGAACUAUGUCAAUGGACGAUUGCCUCCAACAUGUACUCUUAGAGGUCCUAGUGGAGAAUGUUGGACAGUGGGUUUGGAACUGAGAGGGGAUCGAUUUGUCUUCCAUAAGGGUUGGCAGGGUUUUGUGAAGGACCAUUCUUUGGAAAUUGCAAAUAUUUUGGUUUUUGAUUAUGAUGGCAAGUUCAAGUUUGAUGUCACAAUGUAUGAUCCAAUUGGCACUGAGAAGGAGUUAGAACCAGCCGAGAAGAGAAGGGGAAAUCGAGCUCGAGUAGAGGAGGAGAUCAUUGAGCUUGAAACUGAAGAACCGACGAAGAGAGUGAAGAAGAUGCUCGUAUGUCGAACAUAAGGAAGUGCAAGUCUGGAAAGAGGAUUGCAACUGAUGGUGGGAAAGAAAAAUCAAAUGCACAUGUUGUGUUCAGAUCGAAGCAUCCAUGCUUCAUUUGAGCUAUGACGAAGAGCCACUAUCGCCUAAAUAUCCCAAAGGCGCUGGCUGUAGCUAAAGGUCUCAUUAAGAAGAGUGUAAAGGUUGAAGAUCCAAAUGGGAUAUCAAGGGAUGUUAAACUAAGGCUCGAUGGAAAGGAACAUCGCUGUGAUCGUUUGUUCAUGACAAAAGGGUUGUCAAAUGUUUUCAUGCAAUCAACAAUUCACUUGGGGACACACUGGUUAUUGAGCUU